rnacentral:lncRNA from 1 species
CCCAACUGCUCUCUGAAGUGCCGGUGCACCCACACAGCUCACUGUGACCCUCUUAAUGGGCACUGCAAUUGCCCCCCAAAGAGAAUGGGUCCAACCUGUGAGGAAGAUGGUUUGGAUGAUCCUCAGUAACCAAAUGCUAACAGCUUUUCAGCGGAUGAAUAGAAUUUUGCUGAGGUUCACCCAUGGUUCAUCAUCUUAACUUUGGCAGAGAAAUGUACUUACUCAACCAUCUUCGGCCCAGCCUCGCCUGUUGUGAGGUGAAAGACAGGACGUCUCAACUUUAUGGCCUCCAAGCACAAGUUCCACUCUCUAGCCUACCCUUCCCAACUCGCUGAAGAACAUGCCCAAGAAAAAGAGAAUGUUUUUUUAAGGUCCCAAAUUGUAGUAACAUUUUGGACUAAUAAAUGAAACUCUUUUUUUUAUAUGCACAGGAGGUAUUUAAAUUUGGAAGUAAGAACUGCUUUUCAGUUCAGGUUGGACUGCACUGAAAUAUUCACACCUAUUCACUGAAGACCUCAGUGACCAUUAAGUAGCUGGAUCCUCUUUAGAAAUGUCUAGAAUUUCAUCUAUUUAUUCUCAGUAUCCUGCUUCACAGCUAAGUCAGCUUCAGAUUGUUAAUGUAUUGUAUUUCAAACAUGACUUUUGGUGUGGGAGGCUAUUAAGACUUUAGCCACAUAAAGAUCAGGGUUAAAGUAUGACGUGCAGACUUACAAUGAAUCAUCAAAAUGUUUAAUGGUGUUCUCCUCAUCACUGGUCAGCAGACAGGAAGAAAAAGUGAGUACAACUGAUCAAGGGAAGUGCUUAGCCUGCUCCACAGAUUACCCAUGGAGUAGGACCUGAUUGGAAGUAAGCUUUUAAUCCACACUGUAAUCUUGACUCAAGCUGUUCAUCAUUUAGGUCGGUUCUAUAACAUGUGUAAGCAUGAGCCAUGUGAUGAGCCCCAGAGAGACAUAUCAAUAAAUAUGAUUAUAUUCUUGCUCUC